GAUGAACGCUGGCGGCGUGCCUAAUACAUGCAAGUCGAGCGAACAGACGAGGAGCUUGCUCCUCUGACGUUAGCGGCGGACGGGUGAGUAACACGUGGAUAACCUACCUAUAAGACUGGGAUAACUUCGGGAAACCGGAGCUAAUACCGGAUAAUAUAUUGAACCGCAUGGUUCAAUAGUGAAAGACGGUUUUGCUGUCACUUAUAGAUGGAUCCGCGCCGCAUUAGCUAGUUGGUAAGGUGACGGCUUACCAAGGCAACGAUGCGUAGCCGACCUGAGGGGGUGAUCGGCCACACUGGAACUGAGACACGGUCCAGACUCCUACGGGGGGCAGCAGUAGGGAAUCUUCCGCAAUGGGCGAAAGCCUGACGGAGCAACGCCGCGUGAGUGAUGAAGGUCUUCGGAUCGUAAAACUCUGUUAUUAGGAAAGAACAAAUGUGUAAGUAACUAUGCACGUCUUGACGGUACCUAAUCAGAAAGCCACGGCUAACUACGUG
rnacentral:rRNA from 1 species